rnacentral:misc_RNA from 1 species
UUCACUAACUUUUGGGUAGUUCUUGGUCAUUUUUCCUUCUGCGAUUCUGUAAAACACUUCCACAUCAGAUCAUAAAUCGGAAGACAAAAGAAAAACACUCAGAUAUAUAUCGAUCAAAAGUAUUUCUCCACACUUCAGAAACAGAUCUAGUUAGCUAAGCUUGAAACCAGAAACAGUAUUUGACCCCAAAAAUCGAAGCAAGAGCGAUCAAGGACUGAAGGCUGAACAUUCAAAGAUAUCAGAGAAAGAAGAGUGAGUGUGAAAAUGGACCUGAGCUUAGAGACACUGGAAAUG